UGACGACCAUAGCGAGUGUGAACCACCUGAUCCCAUCUCGAACUCAGAAGUGAAACUGCUCAGCGCCGAUGGUAGUGUGGGGCCUCCCCAUGUGAGAGUAGGACAUCGUCAGGCA
rnacentral:rRNA from 1 species